UUUAACAUGAGAGUUUGAUCCUGGCUCAGGAUGAACGCUGGCGGCGUGCCUAAUACAUGCAAGUCGAACGCACAGCGAAAGGUGCUUGCACCUUUCAAGUGAGUGGCGAACGGGUGAGUAACACGUGAAUAACCUGCCUUAUAGUAGGGGAUAACAUUUGGAAACAGAUGCUAAUACCGUAUAAAACAACUUUUUGCAUAAAAGGUUGUUAAAAGGCGCUUCGGCGUCGCUAAAAGAUGGAUUCGCGCUGCAUUAGUUAGUUGGUGAGGUAAAGGCUCACCAAGACGAUGAUGCAUAGCCGAGUUGAGAGACUGAUCGGCCACAUUGGGACUGAGACACGGCCCAAACUCCUACGGGAGGCUGCAGUAGGGAAUCUUCCACAAUGGGCGCAAGCCUGAUGGAGCAACGCCGCGUGUGUGAUGAAGGCUUUCGGGUCGUAAAGCACUGUUGUAUGGGAAGAAUGGCUUAGGUAGGCAAUGACCUAAGAUUGACGGUACCAUACCAGAAAGGGACGGCUAAAUACGUGCCAGCAGCCGCGGUAAUACGUAUGUCCCGAGCGUUAUCCGGAUUUAUUGGGCGUAAAGCGAGCGCAGACGGUUGGUUAAGUCUGAAGUGAAAGCCCACAGCUCAACUGUGGAAUUGCUUUGGAAACUGGCUAACUUGAGUGCAGUAGAGGUAAGUGGAACUCCAUGUGUAGCGGUGGAAUGCGUAGAUAUAUGGAAGAACACCAGUGGCGAAGGCGGCUUACUGGACUGUAACUGACGUUGAGGCUCGAAAGUGUGGGUAGCAAACAGGAUUAGAUACCCUGGUAGUCCACACCGUAAACGAUGAAUACUAGGUGUUAGGAGGUUUCCGCCUCUUAGUGCCGCAGCAAACGCAUUAAGUAUUCCGCCUGGGGAGUACGACCGCAAGGUUGAAACUCAAAGGAAUUGACGGGGACCCGCACAAGCGGUGGAGCAUGUGGUUUAAUUCGAAGCAACGCGAAGAACCUUACCAGGUCUUGACAUCCUUUGAAGAUGUUAGAGAUAACAUUGUGCUCUUCGGAGCCAAAGUGACAGGUGGUGCAUGGUCGUCGUCAGCUCGUGUCGUGAGAUGUUGGGUUAAGUCCCGCAACGAGCGCAACCCUUAUUGUUAGUUGCCAGCAUUUAGUUGGGCACUCUAGCGAGACUGCCGGUGACAAACCGGAGGAAGGCGGGGACGACGUCAGAUCAUCAUGCCCCUUAUGACCUGGGCUACACACGUGCUACAAUGGCGUAUACAACGAGUCGCAAACCCGCGAGGGCAAGCUAAUCUCUUAAAGUACGUCUCAGUUCGGAUUGUAGUCUGCAACUCGACUACAUGAAGUCGGAAUCGCUAGUAAUCGCGGAUCAGCAUGCCGCGGUGAAUACGUUCCCGGGUCUUGUACACACCGCCCGUCACACCAUGGGAGUUUGUAAUGCCCAAAGCCGGUGGCCUAACCUUUUGGAGGGAGCCGUCUAAGGCAGGACAGAUGACUGGGGUGAAGUCGUAACAAGGUAGCCGUAGGAGAACCUGCGGCUGGAUCACCUCCUUUCU
rnacentral:rRNA from 1 species